CUGAUACCCCAAAUCUUGAUCAGAAGCCUCGAUCAGAAGCUAGGAAGGCUUCUGAUCAAGAUUGUGGUGUCAAG
rnacentral:miRNA from 1 species